rnacentral:rRNA from 1 species
UACGGAGGGUGCAAGCGUUAUCCGGAUUCACUGGGUUUAAAGGGUGUGUAGGCGGGUAUUUAAGUCAGUGGUGAAAUCUCCAGGCUCAACCUGGAAACUGCCAUUGAUACUAUUUAUCUUGAAUUUUGUUGAGGUAGGCGGAAUAUGUCAUGUAGCGGUGAAAUGCUUAGAUAUGACAUAGAACACCAAUUACGAAGGCAGCUUACUAAACAAACAUUGACGCUGAGGCACGAAAGCGUGGGGAUCAAACAGG